GAUGAACGCUAGCGGCAGGCCUAACACAUGCAAGUCGAGGGGCAGCACGAGAUAGUUUACUAUUUUGGUGGCGACCGGCGCACGGGUGCGUAACGCGUAUGCAACCUACCUUAUACUGGAGUAUAGCCCGGAGAAAUCCGGAUUAAUCCUCCAUAGCACUGAUAAUUUGCAUAAUGAAUCAGUUAAAGUUUCGGCGGUAUAAGAUGGGCAUGCGUCCUAUUAGCUAGAUGGAGAGGUAACGGCUCACCAUGGCAACGAUAGGUAGGGGGCCUGAGAGGGUGGUCCCCCACACUGGUACUGAGACACGGACCAGACUCCUACGGGAGGCAGCAGUGAGGAAUAUUGGUCAAUGGGCGAAAGCCUGA
rnacentral:rRNA from 1 species